rnacentral:rRNA from 1 species
GACGAACGCUGGCGGCGUGCUUAACACAUGCAAGUCGUACGGUAAGGCCCUUUCGGGGGUACACGAGUGGCGAACGGGUGCGUAACACGUGAGUAACCUGCCCACAACUUUGGGAUAACGCUAGGAAACUGGUGCUAAUACUGGAUAUGUGCUCCUGCUGCAUGGUGGGGGUUGGAAAGCUCCGGCGGUUGUGGAUGGACUCGCGGCCUAUCAGCUUGUUGGUGGGGUAGUGGCCUACCAAGGCGGCGACGGGUAGCCGGCCUGAGAGGGUGACCGGCCACAGUGGGACUGAGAUACGGCCCAGACUCCUACGGGAGGCAGCAGUGGGGAAUAUUGCACAAUGGGCGCAAGCCUGAUGCAGCAACGCCGCGUGCGGGAUGACGGCCUUCGGGUUGUAAACCGCUUUCAGCAGGGACGAAGCUUUUUGUGACGGUACCUGCAGAAGAAGCACCGGCUAACUACGUG